UACGUAGGGAGCAAGCGUUGUUCGGAUUUACUGGGCGUAAAGGGCGCGUAGGCGGCGUGUCAAGUCGAUUGUGAAAUCUCCGGGCUUAACUCGGAACGGCCAAUCGAUACUGACGUGCUAGAGUGCAGAAAGGGCAAUCGGAAUUCUUGGUGUAGCGGUGGAAAUGCGUAGAUAUCAAGAGGAACACCUGAGGCGAAGGCGGGUUGCUAGGCUGACACUGACGCUGAGUGCGCGAAAGCCAGGGGAGCAAACGGG
rnacentral:rRNA from 1 species